rnacentral:lncRNA from 1 species
UGAUGCUUUUGCCUUGUUCAAGUUUGUUUGCCGGUUGACAUUACUAUAUUACAAACAUCUUCUCACUACAUAAACUACAAACAUGAACAUUGAGUGAACAAAUACAUAUGGUCAUUCCGUAAGGUCACAGUUGAGAGGGAUACCCUCCAACCCAAAUAAAACGAGUUUAUCAAGACGAAAACAACAGAAAGAUUUGUCGACAGUAAUUUACUAAGACGUAUAAACUGUCACGUCCCAAUUCCGACGUACAUCCAAAAUCAAUACGUGAAGUCACCAAUUACAUGUAUAUCUAACAUACCCCGCUUUCGGGAUAUGGCAGAAUAUGGCAAAGCAUAACUCGAGAAUCGAAUCUCAUAGUAAUUUUCCAUAUACUUUAUGGAUGUAUCUAACCUCCUCGUUAGACUGCCUACGUACUCUAAAAAGGGAUCAAGCUAUUUGUAGUUCACCCCUCGCUAUAAUUCGACAUAUAUCACAGUCCGUUCAAGCCGAAAGGCAUAACAUUCCUCAAUCAAUCAUUUGGACAAGCAUGAAUUAUUGGAUUCAAGCUACAUAACGAACCCACAUGACAAUCAAGGUUUCUAUUUCAUCCAUCAUAUAAAUCACUACGUUUCAACAUAAAAUCACAAUUCAUAGCACGUAAUAUAUCAAAGAAUCAACAAAGCACAAUAGUAUCCUCUAGUCACAUUGAUCAACUAAUCUAAUUGUAUUAAUAACAAUCAUAUCCAACGAUACUCCACAAUCGCGUCAAUUAAUCAAAUCCAUGAAUCAAAGAUGCACGAUAUUAACGUCUAACUACGUUAAUCAAUCAAUGAAAUAACAUAUCAUUUCAUGAAUUUAAUUAAAGAACUCUACAUAAUUCCCCACUUGGAUUAUAAGUAAUAACAUGGUGAAUUUCAUUUAUAUUCACAAGGUCUACUGUGGGUAUUCCCCAUUCACUUGAAUCUAGGGUCGGACUAACCUUAUGAAAAUGAGUAAGAGCAAGGAUUCCAGACCACUCAACGAAAUCAAACUAAAAUAUAA